rnacentral:piRNA from 1 species
UACCGAUUGAAAUCACAUUUC